rnacentral:rRNA from 1 species
GGUAAGACGUAGGACGCAAGCGUUAUCCGGAUUUACUGGGCGUAAAGCGCCUGUAGCCGGUCAAGUAAGUCGGAUGUGAAAGCCCCGUGCUCAACGCGGGGAAGCCAUUCGAUACUGCGUGACUAGAGAACGGCAGAGGGAAACGGAAUUUCUGGUGUAGCGGUAAAAUGCGCAGAGAUCAGAAAGAACACCGAUGGCGAAGGCAGUUUCCUAGGCCGCAUCUGACGCUGAGAGGCGAAAGCUAGGGGAGCAAACAGGAUUAGAGACCCUGGUAGUCCUAGCUGUAAACGAUGGAUGCUAGGUGUGGGCCGGAAAGGUCCGUGCCGUAGUUAACGCGAUAAGCAUCCCGCCUGGGGAGUACGGCCGCAAGGCUAAAACUCAAACGAAUUGACGGGGACCCGCACAAGCAGCGGAGCGUGUGGUUUAAUUCGAUGCUACACGCAGAACCUUACCUGGGCUUGACAUGUAGGUGGUAGUGAAGUGAAAGCGGAGCGACCCUUCGGGGAGCCUACACAGGUGCUGCAUGGCUGUCGUCAGCUCGUGCCGUGAGGUGUCGGGUUAAGUCCCGUAACGAGCGCAACCCUUGUCCUUAGUUACAAGUGUCUAAGGAGACUGCCGGUGACAAACCGGAGGAAGGUGGGGAUGACGUCAAGUCAGCAUGGCCCUUAUGUCCAGGGCGACACACACGCUACAAUGGUCGGUACAAUGGGCAGCGCAGCCGCGAGGUGAAGCGAAUCCCAACAAAGCCGAUCCCAGUUCGGAUUGCAGGCCGCAACCCGCCUGCAUGAAGCCGGAGUUGCUAGUAACCGCGCGUCAGCCAUAGUGCGGUGAUACGUUCCCGGGUCUUGUACGCACCGCCCGUCACGUCAUGGGAGUUGGUAACGCCUGAAGCCGGUAGUCUGACCUAACGGAGGACGCCGUCGAAGGCGGGACU